rnacentral:rRNA from 1 species
GAUGAACGCUGGCGGCGUGCCUAAUACAUGCAAGUCGAGCGAGCAGACGAGGAGCUUGCUCCUCUGACGUUAGCGGCGGACGGGUGAGUAACACGUGGAUAACCUACCUAUAAGACUGGGAUAACUUCGGGAAACCGGAGCUAAUACCGGAUAAUAUAUUGAACCGCAUGGUUCAAUAGUGAAAGACGGUUUUGCUGUCACUUAUAGAUGGAUCCGCGCCGCAUUAGCUAGUUGGUAAGGUAACGGCUUACCGAGGCAACGAUGCGUAGCCGACCUGAGAGGGUGAUCGGCCACACUGGAACUGAGACACGGUCCAGACUCCUACGGGAGGCAGCAGUAGGGAAUCUUCCGCAAUGGGCGAAAGCCUGACGGAGCAACGCCGCGUGAGUGAUGAAGGUCUUCGGAUCGUAAAACUCUGUUAUUAGGGAAGAACAAAUGUGUAAGUAACUAUGCACGUCUUGACGGUACCUAAUCAGAAAGCCACGGCUAACUACGUG